CAUGCACUGUGAGCUGUAAGGUCUUAUAUAGACAGGUGUGUGGCUUUCCUAAUCAAGUCCAAUCAGUUUAAUCAAACACAGCUGGACUCAAAUGAAGGUGUAGAACCAUCUCAAGGAUGAUCAGAAGAAAUGGACAGCACCUGAGUUAAAUAUAUGAGUGUCACAGCAAAGGGUCUGAAUACUUAGGACCAUGUGAUAUUUCAGUUUUUCUUUUUUAAUAAAUCUGCAAAAAUGUCAACAAUUCUGUGUUUUUCUGUCAAUAUGGGGUGCUGUGUGUACAUUAAUGAGGAAAAAAAAAUUAACUUAAAUGAUUUUAGCAAAUGGCUGCAAUAUAACAAAGAGUGAAAAAUUUAAGGGGGUCUGAAUACUUUCCGUACCCACUGUAAGUUGCUGAAAACAAGAAAAAAUAUCUGCCAGUGGAGUAAGAAAAAUAUCUUGUUUUUCCUUUGAAUUAAAUUUUACUGGCAGAUUUUUUUUUUUUUUUUUUUUUUAAGACAAAAAUAUUUAAUUUUGAUACAUUUUUCAAAGUAAUUUUGCUUCUCAAGUUAAUCAAUCUUAACUCUUUCACUCAUAGAGGUCACUAGAGUGGACAACUAUUCAAAAAAAGCCAUUUUCUUGCAUAUGCAUGGGUUUUGAUAUCAUAGUUGCACAUCACCACUACAGGACACUAGUGCAUCAUCUGUACACUGCCACUAAGUGGCAAUCCGUUGUAUGUGGAAUUUGUAUUCUCCAAACAAAAAUGGCCGAUGGCCAGUCAGAAAUGCCAAGUUGCUCCGGAAUAUCCAUCCAUUCCUUCUAUCCUAGGAGACUCUUGCAGCUUCAUGAAUGCAACCAUCCAAAUGAGACACAAAGGCCUCCAAACACAACCAUAGCGACAGACAGAGAUGCCACGCAGAGCUUUAAAAGGAUCGGAAAAUGUGAGAGGGCAGAAGAAAGGAGCAUUCGGUGAUAAGGUGUACCUGUAUUUGUGAGGCAAUAAAGGACAGGUUGACACAAACAAGAGGAAGUGCAGCAGGGGGAGUGAAAGGUAAACAGGAAUCUGUUGUCAUAUGUGAAGCUGAGACAGUGAGUGAUGAACAUAAGAAAACAAACACACUCGCAAGCCUCACAGCCUUCAAGCCACCAGCAUCUGAUAUCAUGCACAAGGUUUACUCAUCUCCUCUCACACUUGUUCAUUUCAUGGGACUGUCGUAUAACUCAAGUGGAUAGACGCCUGUGUGCAGUGGACAGAAGGGUUUUACCUGAAAGACUCCAUUUAGCUCUGGGAGAUUAUGUUUUAAGGCCGCGGGUCACCUUCAUUGAAAGAAAAAGCAACUUGGAUCCCAACUCUCUCCCUCUGCAUGGAAGAAAAACCUGAGUUAUUCUAGCCAGGGGCUUGAGCACCUGCAUGCAGUGACCUCAGGCAGCUCCAGGGUGAGAGGUUUGUUUGACAGCAGCCCUGGCUGGAGUGUCAUCCAUCAAAAGGAUUUCCCCAGGGUAUCAAUGUCAAAAAAACACCACACAAAUCAUGGACAUGAUUCAAAAAGGUUAAUGGUCCUGAAAAAAAUAGUCACACUUGUACUGUUUGUGGUCAAAAAUGAUC